GAUGCUGCCAUCCCUAAUGUUAUGGGUUUGAUUCUUGCAUGGACCGUUAUUCUGUCUGCUAAAUGACCAUUAUUUAAUCAUUCCAAUUACACCUUGGACAGAAUCUUCCCUGAAAAUAGUCGGCUGGACCAAUUAUUAGAAGGUUUUGGUUAUUGUUUUAAACCAAUGUAAUAUCUGAACAAUUAUGGGAUACCCUAAUAUGUUACAGGAGUGCCCAGCCCACUUGUGUGGGUUUUGUUUCUGUAGGUCAGUUGAAGACUUAGUGAAGUUGUUGUAGUUUCACAAUUGUGGCAACAGAUUUCAUGUCUCAUGUAGGUUGACAUUUUUGUUGUUGUUGUUGCAUUCUGGUGUUCCACUGAAAAUGUGAAACUGAAUAAUUCUAACUUAGACAUUGUAGAUAGGCCUUCAAGAUUACACUACGAGUUUCCCACAUUUCAAUGGUUCUGUUACAAGUCAUAUCUACUGCCACUUCUAGUGGUAUAUGCUCCCAUAUGCUGCUCUGUACCAUCACUCAUUCAUAUAUCCUUAUGUACAUAUUCUUUAUCCCCUUACACUGUGUACAAGACAGUAGUUUUGGAAUUGUUAGUUAGAUUACUUGUUGGUUAUUACUGCAUUGUCGGAACUAGAAGCACAAGCAUUUCGCUACACUCGCAUUAACAUCUGCUAACCAUGUGUAUGUGACAAAUAAAAUUUGAUUUGAUUUGAUUUGAAAUGUCUUUGGACUUAGGGAAACUCAUAUUUGACCUUAUCCCCCUCUCCUAAUGUUGAUACCUCUGUUACCCCUCCCACCUCAUCCUUCUCUCUCACCACAUCCCCAAUUAACACCCCAGACCUGUUACUCCUCUCUUCCCUUCUCCUCCUUCCAGCCAUGCGUCCAUCCAACUCUGUGACCUUUGAACCCAGGGUGGAGCGAGGUGUUCCCUGGGGUCGCGACCUAUUUACCUUUGUAACAUCAGCAGCAGGCCACAUGAUGCGGACACUCCAGAGACCAAGGAAGAACAGGCCAUCCAAACGUCAAGUCAACCACCGGCGCUUCCUACACAACAUGAUCCAGAGGAAGUUUGCAGAGAUAGAGGCAGCCAAUCACCAGCUUGUGUCUGUCCUCUUCUCAACGGAGGUAGCGAAUAGCAACACACCUUCCCCAUCACGACAGCCAAUAACCACUGACCAAUCUAACAGCACCUCUAAAGAAGACUCCUCUCCAGCUCCUGUAAGUGCAGAAGCAAACCUUUGCCUUUGUUCACAUGAAACUGAAGCCCUUGCAACAGAACAGAAAGACCCUGGAGACCAAUGGAGGAGACUCAACCCCAAACAUCUCCAAAUGGACCAGUCCAACAGCAACACUCCAAGUAAAGGAACAUACCAAACGACUCAUAAACAGUGGGGCAGAACAGAAAAUCAAACUGACUAUAGAUCAUCCAUAACAUCAGAGAAAACCAUUGUCUUAGAACAAGAGGAGGAACACUUUCACACAGAACCCUUCAGUUGUGAUGUCACUUCAGAGGAGAGCCUUUAUAGCUGGAUAGACAGCAUUAGAGAGAAAUAUGAAACACAACUCAGACACGACUCAAAUUCAAAUAUCACGGCCCCAACUCAAAACCAGAGGGCCCUACCUUUAAACUUGGAUACCUCAACUUUCAACCCAACACCCCUCUCUCCCGGACUCUCCCCUCUGUCCCUAGAUUCCUGUGAUUUUGGGGUCACAACGGUCGCAGACAACUCCGCUUGCUUCCAGUCUCAAAACAAUAUGUCAGACAGUGACACAGUGGAGAGCCAGAGAAUGGGCAUGUUGAGCCUGUGGGACUCAGAGGUUGAACCACAGAAUGAUGGGGACCCUCCGGCCCAUCUAGAGACAAUCUGGGGGUAUCCUGGUGAUGAGAGGAGCCUAGGUGAUAAGGCACACGUUGAUGACAUCACGUAUCUGAACCAAUCCGAAAGUUUCAUAGAGAAGUUGAUGCUCCACACCAGCAGCAGCAGGAGUGACGGUAGAUCUGAGAUGGAGAGGAUUGACUGUGAUGGAGGGCAGUAUGAAUACGGAUCUGGAUACGGAUGUUCUAUCGAUCCAGUAACAGCCAUAAGAGACUUCAUUAGUGGCCAGGGCAGCUCACAGUGUAUGUUGGAGAGUGCUGUGGGAAGACAAGGUACAGAUAGGCAGUUCACAUGUUUCAAUAUUAACCCAAACCAACUGUCCACCUCUGUAGGCUACCAUUCUGACUUCCCAGACCCCAACAUCCUUCAGAGGUCUUGUCCCCAACAAGAUGGUACCUUCUCAUUGGUGAAUGAUGAUAUGAAUCAGAGUUGUAUUCCCUUUGAGGGAGUGGCCAGAUCCUUCCCGGCCCCAGUUCACACCCCUCAUCCACAUCAGGUUCUGACCCCGCCCCUGGAAGAUGAUUGGCUGUUCACUGAUAUCAUGGGGGCCCAUCAGUGUGAGUAG
rnacentral:lncRNA from 13 species